UGCUAGCAAUCAGUGAGACUCCGUGGGCGUAGGACCCUCCGAGCCAGGUGCAGGUUAUAAUCUCGUGGUGCGCCGUUUUUUAAGCUUGUCGGAAAAGCGCAGUAUUCGGGUGGGAGUGACCCGAUUUUCCAGGUGCGGUCCUCACCCCUUUCUUUGACUAGGAAAGGGAACUCGCUGACCCCUUGCGCUUCCCGAGUGAGGCAAUGCCUCGCCCUGCUUCGGAUGGCGCACGGUGCGCGCACCCACUGACCUGAGCCCACUGUCUGGCACUCCCUAGUGAGAUGAACCCGGUACCUCAGAUGGAAAUGCAGAAAUCACCGGUCUUCUGCUUCGCUCACGCUGGGAGCAGUAGACCAGAGAUGUUCCUAUUCGGCCAUCUUGGCUCCUCCAGAGCUACUUAUUUUUUUAUGAAGGAAAAGAAUAUCAUUGAAAGCAGUUUUACCAUAAAAAGUAUUUUUCACAUAUUUGCAUGUUUAACAUCCAGGGCCCUGGAGCCAGACUGUCUGGGGUUUGAAAUCAGCUCCUCCACCUACCAGCUAUUGACCUCAGGUUGGGAACAUGACCUAAUGGUGUGCUACCAUGCAGCUCUUUCCAGCUCCAUGUUCAGUGACUUCAUAUUGGUUUCCACUUUUGCAUCUUGCUCACCUUCUCUUGCCACCACCAUGUAUGUCUUUAUCAGCAGCCUGAACAUGGACUAAU
rnacentral:lncRNA from 10 species